rnacentral:lncRNA from 13 species
CUGCAGGGAAAUCCCACGCCUGGCCUACAAAAGCCUUUGAUGACUUGAAACUUGAAAUGGGAUUAAGUGACGUUAGGAUCUUUGCCCUUCCAGGAGACAGGAAGUGGACUGAGAAAGCGAGAGAUCUCACUGCAGAUAGGGAUAAGAAGAAAAGGGAAACCAGCAGAAAGAGAACACCCCAAAAGGCAGAAUGAGGGGCCCUGGAGGAUACUGGACGAGGGAGUUUCUGCCCUGAGAAGCAUCAGGGCCUGAUGAAAAGCCCAUCCUCAUCCUCAAGGAUGGAUCCCGCCUUGGUCUUUCCAUUGACCCGUCCCAUCCUGAAGCUACCCAGCGGCUGCCGGCCCUCCGUGAAUCAUUCACAUGCAAAAAGAUAUCGCUUUGGAGAUUCCAAGCGUUUCAGGAGCUGUAUGCCAGGAAAAGGGAAGGAGAACAAACAUAUAUUUAACAGUAUCACAGUUCUGCAUAGCAUGAGGUCCAUUUCUCCCAGCCUUCCUUCAUGUUUCAUCAUUGUUCAGAAGCACAUCAGCAGGCAGCCACAGGCCCCCCCACUUACUAUGGAGAGUGGGAUUCCCUGACUGGUUUGGACUUCAGGAGCUGGGCUGUGCAGCAGAACUCUCUGUGUUGAUGGAAAUGGUCCAGGUCUGUGCUGUCCAAAUGACAGCCACCAGCCACAGGCGGCCACUGAGCACCC